rnacentral:rRNA from 1 species
GUGAGGAAUAUUGGUCAAUGGGCGGGAGCCUGAACCAGCCAAGUCGCGUGAAGGAAGAAGGAUCUAUGGUUCGUAAACUUCUUUUGCAGGGGAAUAAAGUGCAGGACGUGUCCUGUUUUGUAUGUACCCUGAGAAUAAGGAUCGGCUAACUCCGUGCCAGCAGCCGCGGUAAUACGGAGGAUCCGAGCGUUAUCCGGAUUUAUUGGGUUUAAAGGGUGCGUAGGUGGUUUGAUAAGUCAGCGGUGAAAGUUUGCAGCUUAACUGUAAAAAUGCCGUUGAAACUGUCGGACUUGAGUGUAAAUGAGGUAGGCGGAAUGCGUGGUGUAGCGGGGAAAUGCAUAGAUAUCACGCAGAACACCGAUUGCGAAGGCAGCUUACUAAGCUACAACAGACACUGAAGCACGAAAGCGUGGGGAUCAAACAGGAUUAGAUACCCGAGUAGUCC